CACUUAAUGCGUUACUGCGGCGCGGAAAACGUGGAAUGUCCCCCACACCUAGUGCCCAACGUUUACGGCAUGGACUACCAGGGUAUCUAAUCCUGUUCGCUCCCCAUGCUUUCGCUCCUCAGCGUCAGUAACAGCCCAGAGACCUGCCUUCGCCAUCGGUGUUCCUCCUGAUAUCUGCGCAUUUCACCGCUACACCAGGAAUUCCGGUCUCCCCUACUGCACUCUAGUCUGCCCGUACCCACCGCAGAUCCGGGGUUAAGCCCCGGACUUUCACGGCAGACGCGACAAACCGCCUACGAGCUCUUUACGCCCAAUAAUUCCGGAUAACGCUCGCGCCCUACGUAUUACCGCGGCUGCUGGCACGUAGUUAGCCGGCGCUUCUUCUGCAGGUACCGUCACCCGAAGCUUCUUCCCUACUGAAAGAGGUUUACAACCCGAAGCCGUCAUCCCUCACGCGGCGUCGCUGCAUCAGGCUUGCGCCCAUUGUGCAAUAUUCCCCACUGCUGCCUCCCGUAGAGUCUGGGCCGUGUCUCAGUCCCAGUGUGGCCGGUCACCCUCUCAGGCCGGCUACCCGUCGUCGCCUUGGUGAGCCAUUACCUCACCAACAAGCUGAUAGGCCGCGAGUCCAUCCAAGACCGAUAAAUCUUUCCACCCCCCACCAUGCGAUAGGAGGUCAUAUCCGGUAUUAGACCCAGUUUCCGGGCUAUCCAGAGUCAAGGAGGUACU
rnacentral:rRNA from 1 species